CUCAACGUUUCAGAUUUGACUUUGGCCCGCUUCACGUUAUUCAUAUAUUCAUUCGUUUCUGCCGCUCGCGUGCAGUCGCUGCUCUCUAACGGUGCUUUGCCGUCGUCAACGUCAACGUCAACGGUAGCGUCAACGGUAACGUCCACGCCAACGCCAACGCCAACGCCUGGCGUCCCGUUCGGUGUUUACAGAUCAGUGUUAGUGCUCAAAAGCUUUACAGUGUUCUUGGAGAUUGAAAAAGUGCAAUAAACAUACAGAAAAAAA